rnacentral:rRNA from 1 species
CGGCUACCUUGUUACGACUUAGCCCCAGUCACCAGUUUUACCCUAGGGCGCUCCUUGCGGUUACGCACUUCAGGUACCCCCGGCUCCCAUGGCUUGACGGGCGGUGUGUACAAGGCCCGGGAACGUAUUCACCGCGCCGUGGCUGAUGCGCGAUUACUAGCGAAUCCAGCUUCAUGAAGUCGGGUUGCAGACUUCAAUCCGAACUGAGAGAGGUUUUUGGGAUUGGCAUCCACUUGCGUGGUAGCAGCCCUCUGUACCCCCCAUUGUAACACGUGUGUAGCCCCGGACGUAAGGGCCGUGCUGAUUUGACGUCAUCCCCACCUUCCUCACAUCUUACGAUGGCAGUCCCGACAGAGUCCUCAGCAUGACCUGUUAGUAACUAUCGGCAAGGGUUGCGCUCGUUAUGGCACUUAAGCCGACACCUCACGGCACGAGCUGACGACAACCAUGCAGCACCUUCACAACCGCUAUUGCUAGCUAUGGCGUUUCCGCCAUAUCCGGUUGCAAUUUAAGCCCGGGUAAGGUUCCUCGCGUAUCAUC